UACGUAGGGGGCAAGCGUUGUCCGGAAUCAUUGGGCGUAAAGCGCGUGUAGGCGGCCAGAAAAGUCCGCUGUGAAAGCUCGAGGCUCAACUUCGAGCUGUCGGUGGAAACUUUCUGGCUAGAGUCCGGAAGAGGAGAAUGGAAUUCCUGGUGUAGCGGUGAAAUGCGCAGAUAUCAGGAAGAACACCCGUGGCGAAGGCGGUUCUCUGGGACGGUACUGACGCUGAGGAGCGAAAGCGUGGGUAGCAAACAGG
rnacentral:rRNA from 1 species